rnacentral:rRNA from 1 species
CCUGGUUGAUUCUGCCAUUAGUCAUAUGCUUGUCUCAAAGAUUAAGCCAUGCAUGUCUAAGUAUAAGCAACUUUGUACUGUGAAACUGCGAAUGGCUCAUUAAAUCAGUUAUAGUUUAUUUGAUGGUUUUUGCUACAUGGAUAACUGUGGUAAUUCUAGAGCUAAUACAUGCAUUCAAGCCCCGACUUCUGGAAGGGGUGUAUUUAUUAGAUAAAAAUCAACUUUGUUGGUGAAUCAUAAUAACUUCUCGGACCGCAUGGCCUCGUGCUGGCGGUGCUUCAUUCAAAUAUCUGCCCUAUCAACUGUCGAUGGUAGGAUAGAGGCCUACCAUGGUUGCAACGGGUAACGGGGAAUAAGGGUUCGAUUCCGGAGAGGGAGCCUGAGAAACGGCUACCACAUCCAAGGAAGGCAGCAGGCGCGCAAAUUACCCAAUCCCAACACGGGGAGGUAGUGACAAUAUGUAACAAUAUACGGCCUUAUACGUCGUAUAAUUGGAAUGAGUACAAUUUAAAUCCCUUAACGAGGAACAAUUGGAGGGCAAGUCUGGUGCCAGCAGCCGCGGUAAUUCCAGCUCCAAUAGCGUAUAUUAAAGUUGUUGCAGUUAAAAAGCUCGUAGUUGGACCUUGGACCUGGACAGGCGGUCCGCCUCACGACGAGUACUGUCUUGCUGGGUCUUUCCUCUUGGUGAUCUGUUGUUUCGGCAGCAGGGAACCAGGACCUUUACUUUGAAAAAAUUAGAGUGUUCAAAGCAGCUCGACGCCGGAAUAUAUUAGCAUGGAAUAAUAAAUAGGACGUGCGGUUCUAUUUUUGUGUUUUUUGGAUCGCCGUAAUGAUUAAUAGGGACAGUCGGGGGCAUUAGUACUCACAUGCUAGAAGUGAAAUUCUUGGAU